rnacentral:rRNA from 1 species
ACGGAAGGCAGCAGUGGGGAAUAUUGCACAAUGGGGGAAACCCUGAUGCAGCAACGCCACGUGUGGGAAGACGCAUUUCGGUGUGUAAACCACUGUCGUGAGGGAAUAAGGCUACUUUUCGGAGUAGUUGAAUGUACCUCGAAAGGAAGCACCGGCAAACUUCGUGCCAGCAGCCGCGGUAAUACGCGGGGUGCAAGCGUUGUUCGGAAUCACUGGGCGUAAAGGGAGCGCAGGCGGAGAUGCAAGCAGUCUGUACAAUACCGGGGCCCAACCCCGGACCUGCAGACUGGACUGUGUCUCUUGGAUAGCUCAGGGGCUGGCGGAAUUCCUGGUGUAGCGGUGGAAUGCGUAGAGAUCAGGAAGAACACCGAUGGCGAAGGCAGCCAGCUGGGGGCUUAUCGACGCUCAGGCUCGAAAGUGCGGGUAGCAAACAGGAUUAGAUACCCUGGUA